UACGGAGGGUGCGAGCGUUGUCCGGAAUCAUUGGGCGUAAAGGGCGCGUAGGUGGCCCGGUCAGUCCGUGGUGAAAGCGCGGGGCUCAGCCCUGCGUCGGCCAUGGAUACUGCCGCGGCUGGAGCACUGUAGAGGCAGGCGGAAUUCCGGGUGUAGCGGUGGAAUGCGUAGAGAUCCGGAAGAACACCGGUGGCGAAGGCGGCCUGCUGGGCAGUAGCCGAAAGGCUUUCAAGCUGACACUGAGGCGCGACAGCGUGGGGAGCAAACAGG
rnacentral:rRNA from 1 species